rnacentral:rRNA from 1 species
UACGGGAGGCAGCAGUGGGGAAUAUUGCACAAUGGAGGAAACCCUGACGCAGCAACGCCGCGUGAAGGAAGACGGUUUUCGGAUUGUAAACUUCUUUUAUUAAGGACGAAGAAUGACGGUACUUAAUGAAUAAGCUCCGGCUAACUACGUGCCAGCAGCCGCGGUAAU